GUCUGCGGCCAUACCACCCUGAACGCGCCCGAUCUCGUCUGAUCUCGGAAGCUAAGCAGGGUCGGGCCUGGUUAGUACUUGGAUGAAGUACUGGGAAUCCAGUGUAAUAGUGUUUCCCAGGGCUGCUGGCA
ensembl:rRNA 5S_rRNA 5S ribosomal RNA